rnacentral:rRNA from 1 species
AUUGAACGCUGGCGGCAGGCCUAACACAUGCAAGUCGAACGGUAACAGGAAGAAGCUUGCUUCUUUGCUGACGAGUGGCGGACGGGUGAGGAAUGUCUGGGAAACUGCCUGAUGGAGGGGGAUAACUACUGGAAACGGUAGCUAAUACCGCAUAACGUCGCAAGACCAAAGAGGGGGACCUUCGGGCCUCUUGCCAUCGGAUGUGCCCAGAUGGGAUUAGCUAGUAGGUGGGGUAACGGCUCACCUAGGCGACGAUCCCUAGCUGGUCUGAGAGGAUGACACGCCACCCGGGAACUGUGACGCGGUCCAGGCGCCUGCGGGAGGCAGCAGUGGGGAAUAUUGGACAAGGGGCGCGAGCAUUAUGCAGCCAUGCCGCGUGUAUGAAGGAGGCCUUCGGGUUGUAAAGUACUCUCAGCGGGGAGAAAGGGAGUAAAGUUAAUACCUUGGCUCAUUGACGUUACCCGCAGAAGAAGCACCGGCUAACUCCGUG